rnacentral:rRNA from 1 species
GAUGAACGCUGGCGGCGUGCCUAAUACAUGCAAGUCGAGCGAACAGACGAGGAGCUUGCUCCUCUGACGUUAGCGGCGGACGGGUGAGUAACACGUGGAUAACCUACCUAUAAGACUGGGAUAACUUCGGGAAACCGGAGCUAAUACCGGAUAAUAUAUUGAACCGCAUGGUUCAAUAGUGAAAGACGGUUUUGCUGUCACUUAUAGAUGGAUCCGCGCCGCAUUAGCUAGUUGGUAAGGUAACGGCCUACUAAGGCGACGAUGCGUAGCCGACCUGAGAGAGUGGUCGGCCGCACUAGAGCGGGAACGGGGACCAGGCUCCUGCGAGAGGCAGCAGUAGGGAAUCUGCCGCAAUAGGCGAGAACCUGGCAGAGCAGCGGCGCGUGAGUGGUGGAAAUCUUCGGUUCGUAAAACUCUGUUAUUGGGGAAAAACAAAUGUGUAAGUAGCUAUACACGUAUUGACGGUACCUGAUCAAAAAGCCACGGCUAACUACGUG